GUGGCAGCAGCCGCGGUAAAACCAGCACCUCAAGUGGUCAGGAUGAUUAUUGGGCCUAAAGCAUCCGUAGCCGGCUCCGUAAGUUUUCGGUUAAAUCUGUACGCUUAACGUACAGGCUGCCGGGAAUACUGCAGAGCUAGGGAGUGGGAGAGGUAGACGGUACUCGGGAGGAAGUGGUAAAAUGCUUUGAUCUCUCGAUGACCACCUGUGGCGAAGGCGGUCUACCAGAACACGUCCGACGGUGAGGGAUGAAAGCUGGGGGAGCAAACCGGAUUAGAUACCCGGGUAGUCCCAGCUGUAAACUAUGCAAACUCAGUGAUGCAUUGGCUUGUGGCCAAUGCAGUGUUGCAGGGAAGCCGUUAAGUUUGCCGCCUGGGAAGUACGUACGCAAGUAUGAAACUUAAAGGAAUUGGCGGGGGAGCACCACAAGGGGUGAAGCCUGCGGUUCAAUUGGAGUCAACGCCAGAAAUCUUACCCGAGGAGACAGCAGAAUGAAGGUCAAGCUGGAGACUUUACCAGACAAGCUGAGAAGUGGUGCAUGGCCGUCGCCAGCUCGUGCCGUGAGAUGUCCUGUUAAGUCAGGUAACGAGCGAGAUCCCUGCCUCUAGUUGCCACCAUUACUCUCAGGAGUAGUGGGGCGAAUUAGAGGGACCGCCACAGUUAAUGUGGAGGAAGGAAGGGGCCACGGCAGGUCAGUAUGCCCUGAAACCUUGGGGCCACACGCGGGCUGCAAUGGUAGUGACAAUGAGUUUCCUAAUCCGAAAGGAGGAGGCAAUCUUCAAACGCUACCACAGUUAUGAUUGAGGGCUGCAACUCGCCCUCAUGAAUAUGGAAUCCCUAGUAACCGCGUGUCAUUACCGCGCAGUGAAUACGUCCCUGCUCCUUGCACACACUGCCCGUC
rnacentral:rRNA from 1 species